rnacentral:rRNA from 1 species
GACGAACGCUGGCGGCGUGCUUAACACAUGCAAGUCGAACGGAAAGGCCCUGCUUUUGUGGGGUGCUCGAGUGGCGAACGGGUGAGUAACACGUGAGUAACCUGCCCUUGACUUUGGGAUAACUUCAGGAAACUGGGGCUAAUACCGGAUAGGAGCUCCUGCUGCAUGGUGGGGGUUGGAAAGUUUCGGCGGUUGGGGAUGGACUCGCGGCUUAUCAGCUUGUUGGUGGGGUAGUGGCUUACCAAGGCUUUGACGGGUAGCCGGCCUGAGAGGGUGACCGGCCACAUUGGGACUGAGAUACGGCCCAGACUCCUACGGGAGGCAACAGUGGGGAAUAUGGCACAAUGGGCGGAAGCCUGAUGCAGCAACGCCGCGUGCGGGAUGACGGCCUUCGGGUUGUAAACCGCUUUCGCCUGUGACGAAGCGUGAGUGACGGUAAUGGGUAAAGAAGCACCGGCUAACUACGU